UGGGGAAUAUUGCACAAUGGGCGAAAGCCUGAUGCAGCAACGCCGCGUGAGUGAUGAAGGCCUUCGGGUUGUAAAGCUCUGUCUUCUGGGACGAUAAUGACGGUACCAGAGGAGGAAGCCACGGCUAACUACGUGCCAGCAGCCGCGGUAAUACGUAGGUGGCAAGCGUUGUCCGGAUUUACUGGGCGUAAAGGAUGCGUAGGCGGAUACUUAAGUCAGAUGUGAAAAUCCCGGGUUUAACUUGGGAACUGCAUUUGAAACUGGGUAUCUAGAGUGCGGGAGAGGAAAGUGGAAUUCCUAGUGUAGCGGUGAAAUGCGUAGAGAUUAGGAAGAACACCAGUGGCGAAGGCGACUUUCUGGACCGUAACUGACGCUGAAGCAUGAAAGCGUGGGGAGCAAACA
rnacentral:rRNA from 1 species